UUUUGUUUGUAACCAGAUAUUUUAGUCACUUUGGAAAAAGAGCAUCUCCAGGCUAAUUGUUCAACAAAAAUAAUUCAACUACAGCAAGAAAUCAAGUUGCUAAAGGAGAAGAUCAAAGAGAAGUGUCCCGAUCGAUGGACGAGAUUUGGAAGCAGCUGUUACUUUAAAUCCACUGAGAAGAAAACUUGGUCUGAGCAGGAGAGCCUGUCAGGAUAAAGGAGCUGAUCUGGUGAUGAUAAACAGCAAAGAGGAACAGGAAUUUGUCAGUAAAUUUGGAGGAGAGUCCUGGAUUGGUCUGGAAGCUAAAGACAUCAGGAGGAUAUAAAUGGGAAUGGGUGGACGGAUCAGCGCUGACAGAAAGGUUGUGGGCACCAGCACAGCAGAGUACGAGUUAUGAUUCCUAUGGAGUCUGCUGUGAUGAUAAAGGGAACUUGAAACAGGCAGUUGAACAUUAUGUUGGUUACAGCUCGAAGACCUUCAUCUGUGAGAAAUGAGUUUGGUGCUUUGAUGUAAAUGUGUGAAUAAUCCAACCAAAGACACCUCACUAUGAAAUGUCCUGCAUGAGCCUCAGACUCAGCUUACAGUCUUUACUUGUUCAUUCUGCAUCAUAUAUUGAUUACAUAUAUUGUCCCUCUGUGCUCUGUGCUGUACAGUAAGGUUGGAAGUCAUCCACACAAAACCUUGAAGUACUGCAUUACUCUGUAGUUCCAGCAAAUUGUUCUAAUAAAAGUCAAAGUGCAGCUCGUCUUUACUUUGCUUUACUUGGUUUAUUCAUCAGUCUGUUGGUCCUAAAACUUCAGUAAACGUCUUCUUCAGUUUCUCUCAAACAGCUGAAAGUUGCUGCUUCUUACUUUUAGCUACAAAUGGGGGAUUUUGACAGGAGAUUGAAAUGAAGAAGAAAAGCAGAUUUAACAAUUUUCAAAUGUGCGAAUAAGUUAUCAAUUCUCUUUUAUGCUGCACUUGUAAAGUAAGGAUAGAGAAGUUGGGGCUAAAUGGGAUGUUGAAUUGUUGACUCAAGGAAACAGAGUUUAUGUAGCUGAAUGUAACCAGGUUCUUUCUCUCAAUGUAUUUUAGUUGUCCAACUUUAACCUGACAUUGUCAGAGCUAAAUGUAUUAAAGGACUCCUGUUAUUCAUGUUUUUGAUCUGCUGUGUGCUUUAUUUCCUGACUUCAUUCUGAUGGAUCAUUUCUAAAUAUGGAUCUAUUUUUGU